rnacentral:misc_RNA from 1 species
AACGCACAUUGCGCCCGCUAGUAUUCUGGCGGGCAUGCCUGUUCGAGCGUCAUUUCAACCAUCAAGCGCCUGCGCUUGUGUUGGAGCCCUGCGGCUGCCGCAGGCUCCCAAACCCAGUGGCGGGCUCGUCGUCGUACCGAGUGCAGUAAACUUACCACGCUCAGGGCACGCGACGGGUGACCGGCCGUAAAACCCCCCACUUUCUCAAGGUUGACCUCGGAUCAGGUAGGAAUACCCGCUGAACUUAA